UUAAUCCAUUAAUUUUGCGUUUGAGCAUAUUUUGUAUUUAACUUGUUCCUCAGCCUACUUCCCGUGUGAUAGCACGAAUGCUUGCAAGCACACUCGCAAUAUUUUUUUCAUCACGAUCAGGCUCCAAGCCAGAACUGAUGUCAAGGAUCAGUGUAACGAGAACAGCAGGUUUCUGGAAAAGGAAUGAUGGCAUGCACACGGCAUCAGCAGGGACAUCACAAGUAUUGAGACACUGGUUUGUUUUUGAAAGUCUGAACUCAAAAAUCAGCUGGGAAAGCAAUGCGAUUCCAAGUGACUGCAUGCAAUGUAGGUCAGUUGAAUGCAAAAGUGAAAGCACAUGUACCAUCAGAUUCCCACGUCUGGAGGGGGAGGGAUGUCAGCCUGCAAGGGCAAAAAGCCCCAGAAGUCAUGUGUGACUCGUGUUUUCCGAAACAAAUCUGAUCUUUAGAUGGAAAUUCAUUCUCUUAGCUGUGUCAGAGAAACAGAGACCAAGAAUGAGCCUGAGUGGGGAGAGGACCAGUCAAGCCUCACAGCGUGGAAAGACUGAAAAAGACCCAACAGCAAAGAAUAAGAGGAUAUGAGCUGUGCUGUGCUCACAAUGAAAUCAUUGGGAAUUUUGCCAUGAAAGCAGAACUGAGUUGUUCUUUCAGCAUUUCAGUACCCAUCACCAUAUUAUCUAGGCGCCACCAUGAGAUUAAGAAGCUCUGCCGUGACAUUCUCAGCAUGAUCUGUUCAAAGGUCAUUAGCAGAGCCUUUCGUACUGGAAAAGAUUGCAGGACAGUACUGAAGUGAGCCGCAGAAGGAGAGAAAAAGGAAAAGGAGGCGGAUCCAUGGAAUCAGGAAAGAUGGUUUUAUCUCACAAGGCCUGAUCCGACUUCCACCAAAGUCAGUUGCUGGAGCAUCUCUGAUUGCCAUGAGUGUCUGCUGAAGACAACCUGGGGAACUUGCAUUCUGGAAAGGUGGCACUGGCUGUAUUGUGUUCACUGAUGCAGUCUGUUGUGACUUUCCCAAGAAGUGUAUUGGUAAGCGAAAAAUUUGCCCAAGCUCUUUUUUUCACGGCUGCAGUUAGGACUCCUGGUUCAGGCCUGAGGAGGCCAAUGACAGUAUGCUGACGCACUGCUCAAACAAACCCCCAGAGGUCUUUUGUGCCCCUUCUGGUACAAAAACAGUAGGGGAUUUACACUAGGGGAUAAAUAGGUGGUUCCAAAGUGAGAAGGAAAGAGCCAAAGUUGGAAGCUAACCACAAUACGUGGGUGUAAACGAUUACCAAAGGCUUCCAGUAACUCUGCUAUCAUCAGAGACUGGCUUUAUGGGUAUGGCCUCAAGAAGUUUCCCUCCACUUAAUUAAAGAGGCAGAUAAGUAUCUAGGUGGAGUGUGCAGAUAGGUUCUGAAUGAGUUAUCCACUAAGGCUGGUUUGCUGCACCUAUUGUUAAAGCCAAAAUAUAAUAUCAGAUUAAUGCAUUAUAUUUGCCUAUUAUAGCACUAUGUCAUCAUUAUAUGACAUGUUAUAAUUAAAGCCCUGCGUUAGAAACAAAACUAUUUGGCUUGGGAUAAGUUGCCUUUAUGACUUCUGUGGUUAUGAUUUCCUCCUUUUCUUAACCCCUUAAAACUGCAUAAUAUAGCUAUUUGUAACUGUAUAAAGAAAGUUUCUAGUUUCAGAUUCUAAUCUCAGGUAAU